rnacentral:rRNA from 1 species
UGGGGAGUACGACCGCAAGGUUGAAACUCAAAGGAAUUGACGGGGGCCCGCACAAGCGGUGGAGCAUGUGGUUUAAUUCGAAGCAACGCGAAGAACCUUACCAGGUCUUGACAUCCNGAUGCUAUCCUUAGAGAUAAGGAGUUACUUCGGUACAUCGGUGACAGGUGGUGCAUGGUUGUCGUCAGCUCGUGUCAUGAGAUGUUGGGUUAAGUCCCGCAACGAGCGCAACCCUUAUUACUAGUUGCCAUCAUUAAGUUGGGCACCCUAGUGAGACUGCCGGUGAUAAACCGGAGGAAGGUGGGGAUGACGUCAAAUCAUCAUGCCCCUUAUGACCUGGGCUACACACGUGCUACAAUGGAUGGUACAACGAGUCGCCAACCCGCGAGGGUGCGCUAAUCUCUUAAAACCAUUCUCAGUUCGGAUUGCAGGCUGCAACUCGCCUGCAUGAAGUCGGAAUCGCUAGUAAUCGCGGAUCAGCACGCCGCGGUGAAUACGUUCCCGGGCCUUGUACACACCGCCCGUCACACCACGGGAGUUGGGAGUACCCGAAGUAGGUUGCCUAACCGCAAGGAGGGCGCUUCCUAAGGUAAGACCGAUGACUGGGGUGAAGUCGUAACAAGGUAGCCAAGGGCGAAUUCGCGGC